rnacentral:rRNA from 1 species
AGUGAACGCUGGCGGCGUGCCUAAUACAUGCAAGUCGAACGGACAAGUAAGAGCUUGCUCUUAUGAGUUAGUGGCGCACGGGUGAGUAAUGUAUAGCUAAUCUGCCCUACACUAGAGGACAACAGUUGGAAACGACUGCUAAUACUCUAUACUCCUGUCUUACAUAAGUUAGAUAGGGAAAGUUUUUCGGUGUAGGAUGAGGCUAUAUUGUAUCAGCUAGUUGGUGAGGUAAUGGCUCACCAAGGCUAUGACGCAUAACUGGUCUGAGAGGAUGAUCAGUCACACUGGAACUGAGACACGGUCCAGACUCCUACGGGAGGCAGCAGUAGGGAAUAUUGCUCAAUGGGGGAAACCCUGAAGCAGCAACGCCGCGUGGAGGAUGACACUUUUCGGAGCGUAAACUCCUUUUGUUAGGGAAGAACAAUGA